rnacentral:lncRNA from 1 species
UAGAUAAAUAAGUGAAUAAUUUUUUUUUUUUUUUUGAGAGAAAGAUAGUAUGCUACUCGUUUCGUUUAUUUCAUUUAAAAAUAAACUUAGCUGGAAAUGUGAAUCAAUUAGGAUUUGAACUUGGGUCUCGAAUACCAACCACCAAGUCCUUUGCUAAUACUUUCUAGAAAAAAUAUAUGUAGAUGUAAUUAUAUGAAAAGAUUCCUUCUUUACACUAAUUAAACAACAGAAUGACCAACCGUCCAUAGCGCAAGUAGCAAAAGAUUUGAUAGUUGAUACCUGAGGUCCCAAAUUCGAAUCCUAAUUGAUUCAUAUUUUCAGUUAAAUUUAUUUCUAAAAUAAAAAAAAUAAAACAGAUAACAUACUAUCGAUCUCUCUGAAAGAAAAAACAACAGAAUGGAUCCCACUCUCCUGUUCAAGCAUCUCAUACUAAACUACCUUCAC